AGCGAUCGGUUUGGAAUGAGUACAAUUUAAAUCCCUUAACGAGGAACAAUUGGAGGGCAAGUCUGGUGCCAGCAGCCGCGGUAAUUCCAGCUCCAAUAGGCGUAUAUUAAAGUUGUUGAGGUUAAAAAGCUCGUAGUUGAACCUUGGGCCUAGCCGGCCGGUCCGCCUCACCGCGUGCACUGGCUCGGCUGGGUCUUUCCUUCUGGAGAACCGCAUGCCCUUCACCUGGGUGUGCUGGGAACCAGGACUUUACUCUGAAUAAAUUAGAUCGCUUAAAGAAGGCCUAUGCUCGAAUACGAAUACAUUAGCAUCGGGCAUCAGUAUUCAAUUGUCAGAGGUGAAGCUACU
rnacentral:rRNA from 1 species